CAUCCACACUGUGUGUGUGUAUUUUCUGACUUGUGCUCAGUGAGUGCCUACGUGUGUGUUUGACAAUGUGUGUGUCCUGUUUGUAUAUUCAUGUGUUCUCUGUGUGUGUGCCCAAUCAGCUGUGCGAGGAAACACACCCACUUCACUCUCUUACCGGCCCCGCUCCUCCUGAUUGGCUGCCGUGCAUCGGACACACCGCUCCCCCAUUGGCCGGCAAACGAGGAGGCGGCAGUUUGUUGCUGUUGCUAAGAUCCUGUUGCUACGUUCCCGACUGUUGCUAGGAAACAUGUGAUGCAUUAUGGAUGGUUGGAUUUCUCAUGGAGGAGCGAAUCUGAAAUGCUGAUGACUGGACUCUCACUCAUCACUAUCAUUUUCUAUCACACUUUCUCACUCUCAGUUUUCAUCAUUCUGCCUCUAUCAUUUUGUCACUAAUUCAAAAUUGCUUUAAUGGCAUAAUGACCAUAAUUAGUACAGUACUGCCAAAGCAGUUUGUACAAGGUUUACAAUUUUGAGGACUAUUCGGAUGGGAUUAAUAUUACAGGGGGAGGUAGGUAUUCAAAUAUUUGCUCUGCCCUUAAACCCGAACAGCAUUUUAGCCAUUGGCAAAUUACAGGCGCUGGUUCUGUAUACAAGGAUACUCAUUCUCAGGAGACAUUUGCAGUAGCAGUAGCCCGCUGUAGAUUCCUCCUGUACAACAUCAGGAGGAUUUGUCCCAUUCUCACUUGGGAGGUGGCCCAGGUGCUUAUCCAGUCACUUGUUAUCUCCACCCCUGGACAACUGCAACUUCUUCCUUCUGGGGCACCUGCGUCUGCCACCACCCGUCUACAACUAAUCCAUAAGGCUGCUUCCUGUCUGGUGUUCAACCUCCCAAAGCUUUUCACACAGCACCCCAUCUCUCUGUUCACUACAGAGGUUCCCUGCUGCAGCUCGGAUCCGGUUCAUGACCCUGGUGCUGGCCUGCAGGGCAGUGAAGGGAACUGUUCCUUCAUACCUCCAAGCUGUUGUAACACCCAAACUCAUUCCUCAUUCCUCGCACCAUCACUCCUUGGACCUUAUGUUCGUUCAUCUCAGUCAAGGCUCUUCUCUGUACUAGCCCCAUAAUGACAAACAAUGUAUUUUGUCGUUUUGUUUGGAGGACUUUUAGAUUAUGGAAGGACCAACAAGUGAGCCAAAAAAGACUUAUUCUUCGCUCCCAGCUCAGCGCUCCUCUCCUCCACUGCCAACGCCACCGGAGCGAGACAGAUACAGGAGGAAGUUGGCCGAGAAAUGACAUCGAUGGAAAGUUCUGCUCGCUGGUGAAACUCUGAGCUCAGACCUUUAGCAAACACAGGGUACCCAUGUUACUGUGGGACAGUAGAUUUGAGCUGGCCAAUGAAUUGAGGAGGUCACAUCUGUCUUCACACCCACAACCUUAAAGCUGGCCCAGAUAUUAUCUGGAGGAAAAAAUUAUUAAUCAGCCACUUCCAGUCACAGACUUCCAAUCAUACCCUUGAAAAGUUGCAACCCUGUCUCCUAAACAUUGUGUCAUUCAAAUUAGCAUGUCCUGUCUUGAGCGUCAAGUCAGUGCUUUUUCAACAUUUAACCGAGACUGCAACCUUUUCCUAUCUUUAAUCAAGUGUUUUAUUAUGCUAAACCUAACUACCCCUGGGACAUGGGACGCAUACUCCAGCCUCUGGUGACAAAGUCAUAUGCUUGCUACACCUGGCUUUACCCUGUCCUCUACCCUAUAUGACUUUUCCCCGAGUUUAAAAACAUCCCAUUUCUGCAAGGAGAACGAUCCAAGUACAUAUGCUUAUUAUUUUUAUAUAUGCUUGUUGCAAGUAAUUGGGAAGGAAAAGUGCACAGAAGUAAUGUAAUCAUCCUAUAGACAUUAGGUUUACACAGGAAUCUUCUGUGUACAGUGUAUUUGAUCUAGCUGACAGUUAUCUGUUUGCUGUGCUUUCUAUGCUAAGAGAGGACAGCAGAGAAACUGUCUGUACCACAUUCAGGAGGCAGAAUUGAUUUUGUACUGACAAUGAUAUCAGUGUCUAGCCUGAUACUCUAACUGAAUUGCCAUUUUGUUCCACUUUAUUCAUUCAGCCUGACAUCAUGUUAAUGUUAGCUGGGGGGGGUAUGUUUUUUGGUUUUACCUGCUUGAGUAUUUAACGUUUUACAUACAAAAACCAAAGUGUAAAAAACAGAAUAUGUCAAUUUACAGGGGGUUGUGCACCAGACUCCAGGAAGUUACUAGUCACUUUCUCAUCUUGCAUAUAUUCAGCCUGCUAUACUGCAGUUCUUGGCAGAUAUGUCGUUCUCUGUCUCCUGCCCAGGGACUACAGAUGAAAAUUAGCUUAUAGCUAACUCUGGUACAACUAAGAAGCUGUGCAUUGUCCCUGUCCAAUAAACAAAUAAAUAAAAUAAUAAAUGUUUUGA